rnacentral:tRNA from 1 species
GGCCCGUUGGUCAAGCGGUUAAGACACGGCCCUUUCACGGCGGUAACAUGGGUUCGAGUCCCGUACGGGUCA